rnacentral:rRNA from 1 species
GGAUUGUAAACUCCUGUCGUUAGGGACGAUAAUGACGGUACCUAACAAGAAAGCACCGGCUAACUACGUGCCAGCAGCCGCGGUAAAACGUAGGGUGCAAGCGUUGUCCGGAAUUACUGGGUGUAAAGGGAGCGCAGGCGGGAAGACAAGUUGGAAGUGAAAACCAUGGGCUCAACCCAUGAAUUGCUUUCAAAACUGUUUUUCUUGAGUAGUGCAGAGGUAGAUGGAAUUCCCGGUGUAGCGGUGGAAUGCGUAGAUAUCGGGAGGAACACCAGUGGCGAAGGCGGUCUACUGGGCACCAACUGACGCUGAGGCUCGAAAGCAUGGGUAGCAAACAGGAUUAGAUACCCUGGUAGUCCAUGCCGUAAACGAUGAUUACUAGGUGUUGGGGGAUUGACCCCCUCAGUGCCGCAGUUAACACCAUAAGUCAUCCACCUGGGGAGUA